rnacentral:rRNA from 1 species
GCUGGCGGCGUGCUUAACACAUGCAAGUCGAACGGGUAGUUCCCUUCGGGGGACGAAAGUGGCGCACGGGUGAGUAACGCGUAGAUAACCUGUCCUAAUGACCGGAACAGCCCUCCGAAAGGGGGAUUAAUACCGGAUACCCGCAUUGCCGAAGGGCGAUGUGGGAAAGAUGGCCUCUAUUUAUAAGCUGUCACAUUUGGAGGGGUCUGCGUACCAUUAGCUUGUUGGCGGGGUAAUAGCCCACCAAGGCGACGAUGGUUAGCGGGUCUGAGAGGAUGACCCGCCACACUGGCACUGAAACACGGGCCAGACUCCUACGGGAGGCAGCAGUGAGGAAUAUUGCGCAAUGGGGGAAACCCUGACGCAGCGACGCCGCGUGGGUGAUGAAGGCCUUCGGGUCGUAAAGCCCUGUCGGAAGGAAAGAAAUGCGUGCGGAUUGAUACUUCGUGCGUUUGACGGUACCUUCAAAGGAAGCACCGGCUAACUCUGUGCCAGCAGCCGCGGUAAUACAGAGGGUGCAAGCGUUGUUCGGAAUUACUGGGCGUAAAGGGCGUGCAGGCGGCCUGAUAAGUCAGAUGUGAAAGUCCUCGGCUCAACCGGGGAAGUGCAUUUGAAACUGUCAGGCUUGAGUACCAGAGGGGAAAGUGGAAUUCCCGGUGUAGAGGUGAAAUUCGUAGAUAUCGGGAGGAAUACCGGUGGCGAAGGGGACUUUCUGGCUGGAUACUGACGCUGAGACGCGAAAGCGCGGGGAGCAAACAGGAUUAGAUACCCUGGUAGUCCGCGCCGUAAACGAUGUGAACUGGAUGCAGGGGGUGUUGAUCCCCUCUGUGUCGUAGCUAACGCGCUAAGUUCACCGCCUGGGGAGUACGGUCGCAAGAUUAAAACUCAAAGGAAUUGACGGGGGCCCGCACAAGCGGUGGAGUAUGUGUUUAAUUCGAUGCAACGCGAAGAACCUUACCUGGUCUUGACAUCCCGAGAAAUCCCUUGAAAGAGGGAAGUGCCUCGCAAGAGGAGCUUGGAGACAGGUCUGCAUGGCUGUCGUCAGCUCGUGUCGUGAGAUGUUGGGUUAAGUCCCGCAACGAGCGCAACCCCCGCCAUCAGUUGCCAGCAUUCAGUUGGGCACUCUGAUGGGACCGCCGGCGUCAAGCCGGAGGAAGGUGGGGAUGACGUCAAGUCCUCAUGGCCUUUAUGACCAGGGCUACACACGUACUACAAUGGCCGGUACAGAGGGCUGCGACACUGCGAGGUGAAGCGAAUCCCUAAAAGCCGGUCUCAGUCCGGAUUGGAGUCUGCAACUCGGCUCCAUGAGGUUGGAAUCGCUAGUAAUCGCGGAUCAGCACGCCGCGGUGAAUACGUUCCCGGGCCUUGUU